UCUCUUGUAUUUUUUUCAAUAUCCCAAUAUUUUUUUCUUUUCGCAUGACAGUUGGUGGAACUUUUUUUCGAGGUUAUGAUUAUCUCAAGUCACUGCUGAUCGAUUGAUAAAUCUGUGAAUUGUCGUUUUUUAAUUUGAUGAUAGCGAUGACAGUACUCGAGGCGAUAUUCGUUUCAUGAAUCUUAAUGGAUCAUCUACGGAAACUUGAGAGUUUCUCUUGAGACUGAUAACAGAUUCUGAGAUUAUGCUGGAGCGUGUAUAUGAGUAUUACUAUAUGUACGUAGAAUAACUACCGCCUACAGUGACGUUAAUGAUUCAAAGUACGAUAGAGAUGAAUAAUCGCGUAAUAACAAGAAACGAUUGUUUCUUGUUCUCAGCUCUUAAUUUUCCUGCCUAAUGUUUGAAUUCCAUUUACCGUUCGCCAUCUUGGCAUUCAUAUUCGCUUUUUCUUCUUCGUCUCUCUUUUUAUGUAUUAAUACAGCAUAUAUGCGACGUCGCGUUAAAGUUAUUAAGUCAGACGUCAGAAUGUUGGAAAAAAAAGGUCUUAGACUCGUGAAGUGAAAGUAUACUCAAAGAAAUUAUUAAAAGUUUCACGCGAUAGGAGAACGAAGCGUCCUCUUCUUUUCCUAACCUGUAAUUCACGUUUGAAAUUCAAAUUCGAACCGGUCUGCCUUUUAGUACCUAAAGCACACGUACUGUCUGCAUUUCAAACAAAGAGGAUCAGAAUCCUUGAAUUCACAGCAAGCGGUACGUCAAUUAAGCUGUAUCCGGUUGUCGUUUAAAAAUUCAUAAAAUAGUAAUAGGGUUCUGAAACUUUUCUUUCACGAUAUACGUUCUGAUGACAUUAAUUAUUGUUAAAGUGCCUGAGUGAACAGAUAUUUGAAAAUAUAAAGGGUGCAAUUCUUUAAUAAAAAUAUAUCUGAUCGUAGGUAUAUAUUAAGAAAUAGGUACCUAAAAAUAAAUUUAUUAAGCGCUUCGAUUCCAAUAGUUAAUUUUACAGUCGCCCGUAUUUUCUGAUCCAAAAUAUAGCGUCAGUAUCGUUAAACGAAUGGAAAGUUCCAAAAGUAUAGAGUCAACGUGUACAGGGCAGUUGAUACGAUUGUGAAAACGAGAAGGUUCGUGGAAAAAAUAAGAAAAAUGUAAAUAUGAAUUUUCAAACGCAUAACUACAAAAAAAUCGAAAGAGAUAUCGUGACGCGUGAAGCGCGAGAUGUGAUCCUGGACCAGCGAGAUCUCAGCUCGUAGGAAUGACAAUAGACUGUCACAUAAUGAAUCCCCGCUGCCAGCCAAACCUCCGGCAUAUAGCCCCUCUCUACCGCACACCCUAAAACUUCCCCUUGGCAUCUCCAUCUCGCUCGACCGGGUUUUCGCUCAAUUCUAGCAAAGGAUUCAAACCGCCCGCGAACAAUGAACGUAUCGACAAUGAAAAAUAACACGCCUAACCUUGAAAAUCGUACAUAUAGCAAACUCACGAUUAACAUUAAUCAGCGAUAUUUGAAAUUGUAAUAUAAGCGAAUGUGUAUUUUUACAAUGGGGACAAGAAAAAAGUGAAAGAAGAAUAAAGUUGACUGAGGUGGAAUCCCUCACUUCUGCGGCAAACAGAACUAUGACCAAGUAGUCGAGGCGUCCACUUAGCGUUAAUGCUCCUUUUAUUGGUCAAGACUUCAUCGAAAAGUUGAAUGGAUGUUACCCCGCCUUACAUUUCUCUUUGUGUUUUAUACAUGAAGCAUAUUUGAUUCUAGGUAGAAUUUCUAGGCGAGGUGAUCUAUCGAAAAUUUAAAACGUCUCUACGGAUGACCAAAAUGUACUGCGAGUAAAUGGAAUACGCAAUGUACAAUAUUGAACCGCUCCCAAGGGGAUGGAGAGGAGAAAUUCGCAGAAAAAAUGGGAAACUCACAAAUGGUCAGAACUGGAAGUUUAAGAAGAUUAACGAUACGUAUCGAUACGUCUGGCUUGGAAUUUUGAUCGCGUGAGAAAUUCGGGAGGACUGUAAUGAAAAGACGUCGG